rnacentral:rRNA from 1 species
GACGAACGCUGGCGGCGUGCCUAAUACAUGCAAGUUGAGCGCUGAAGGUUGGUACUUGUACCGACUGGAUGAGCAGCGCACGGGUGAGUAACGCGUGGGGAAUCUGCCUUUGAGCGGGGGACAACAUUUGGAAACGAAUGCUAAUACCGCAUAAAAACUUUAAACACAAGUUUUAAGUUUGAAAGAUGCAAUUGCAUCACUCAAAGAUGAUCCCGCGUUGUAUUAGCUAGUUGGUGAGGUAAAGGCUCACCAAGGCGAUGAUACAUAGCCGACCUGAGAGGGUGAUCGGCCACAUUGGGACUGAGACACGGCCCAAACUCCUACGGGAGGCAGCAGUAGGGAAUCUUCGGCAAUGGACGAAAGUCUGACCGAGCAACGCCGCGUGAGUGAAGAAGGUUUUCGGAUCGUAAAACUCUGUUGGUAGAGAAGAACGUUGGUGAGAGUGGAAAGCUCAUCAAGUGACGGUAACUACCCAGAAAGGGACGGCUAACUACG